UACUCCUACGGGAGGCAGCAGUGGGGAAUUUUGGACAAUGGGCGAAAGCCUGAUCCAGCCAUGCCGCGUGCAGGAUGAAGGCCUUCGGGUUGUAAACUGCUUUUGUACGGAACGAAAAGGUCUUUUCUAAUAAAGAAGGCUCAUGACGGUACCGUAAGAAUAAGCACCGGCUAACUACGUGCCAGCAGCCGCGGUAAU
rnacentral:rRNA from 1 species